rnacentral:rRNA from 1 species
UACGUAGGGGGCAAGCGUUACUCGGAUUCAUUGGGCGUAAAGCGAAUGUAGGCGGUCAAAUAAGUCAGAUGUGAAAUACCUCGGCUUAACCGAGGAAGUGCGUUUGAUACUGUUUGGCUUGAGGACAGGAGAGGGAAGUGGAAUUCCCGGUGUAGCGGUGGAAUGCGUAGAUAUCGGGAGGAACACCAGAGGCGAAGGCGGCUUCCUGGACUGUGCCUGACGCUGAGAUUCGAAAGCUAGGGGAG